AGUGAACGCUGGCGGUAGGCCUAACACAUGCCAGUCGAACGGCAGCACAGUAAGAGCUUGCUCUUACGGGUGGCGAGUGGCGGACGGGUGAGGAAUACAUCGGAAUCUACUUUUUCGUGGGGGAUAACGUAGGGAAACUUACGCUAAUACCUCAUACGACCUACGGGUGAAAGCGGGGGAUCUUCGGACCUUGCGCGAUUGAAUGAGCCGAUGUCGGAUUAGCUAGUUGGCGGGGUAAAGGCCCACCAAGGCGACGAUCCGUAGCUGGUCUGAGAGGAUGAUCAGCCACACUGGAACUGAGACACGGUCCAGACUCCUACGGGAGGCAGCAGUGGGGAAUAUUGGACAAUGGGCGCAAGCCUGAUCCAGCCAUACCGCGUGGGUGAAGAAGGCCUUCGGGUUGUAAAGCCCUUUUGUUGGGAAAGAAAAGCAGCAGGUUAAUACCCCGAUGUUCUGACGGUACCCAAAGAAUAAGCACCGGCUAACUUCGUG
rnacentral:rRNA from 1 species